CGGCGGACGGGUGAGUAAUGCCUAGGAAUCUGCCUAGUGGUGGGGGAUAACGUUCGGAAACGGACGCUAAUACCGCAUACGUCCUACGGGAGAAAGCGGGGGAUCUUCGGACCUCGCGCCAUUAGAUGAGCCUAGGUCGGAUUAGCUAGUUGGUGAGGUAAUGGCUCACCAAGGCGACGAUCCGUAACUGGUCUGAGAGGAUGAUCAGUCACACUGGAACUGAGACACGGUCCAGACUCCUACGGGAGGCAGCAGUGGGGAAUAUUGGACAAUGGGCGAAAGCCUGAUCCAGCCAUGCCGCGUGUGCGAAGAAGGUCUUCGGAUUGUAAAGCACUUUAAGUUGGGAGGAAGGGUAGUAACCUAAUACGUUGCUACUUUGACGUUACCGACAGAAUAAGCACCGGCUAACUUCGUGCCAGCAGCCGCGGUAAUACGAAGGGUGCAAGCGUUAAUCGGAAUUACUGGGCGUAAAGCGCGCGUAGGUGGUUCAGUAAGUUGGAAGUGAAAUCCCCGGGCUCAACCUGGGAACUGCUUUCAAAACUGCUGAGCUAGAGUACGGUAGAGGGUGGUGGAAUUUCCUGUGUAGCGGUGAAAUGCGUAGAUAUAGGAAGGAACACCAGUGGCGAAGGCGACCACCUGGACUGAUACUGACACUGAGGUGCGAAAGCGUGGGGAGCAAACAGGAUUAGAUACCCUGGUAGUCCACGCCGUAAACGAUGUCAACUAGCCGUUGGAAUCCU
rnacentral:rRNA from 1 species